AAAAAGGUUUAAAUGUAGCAUAUUGCUCACAGGCUGUCAGAGAGUUUUUGUAGUACAUGAAAGUGCAUGUUUGCCAUGUUGUUUAUACGUCUGUAGUCUAUGUGUUUUGCAAAUUUAAUACGUGAAUUGUACACCGGGAAAUAUAAAAUACUUAGGGUUCAUUAUUUAUCGGGGGGGGGGGGGGGGAGGAGCUGGUGGAUUCUAAAAUUCAAACAGCAUAAUAAAAAUGACCUCCCUUUUAAUGUGUUUAAAAAUGUAGUCCACCCCUUUAGAACAGUCUGAAAAUUUUUCACCCUCCUCCAACAUUAAAGUUAAGAAGAACAUAGUAUGGCCGUAUGGUAGUUCUUCCCAUCCUAUUCUUGUGUGCUCUUUAAUUACAACCAGGGGCGUAGAGAGGACCUUCAACUUGGGGAUACUGGACAGGAUUUAGUCAACGGAGGGGGGGGUGUGAAAUAAAAUCCAAAUCCACAAUAUAAUUGUGUAUAAUCUUGUCUAAGUAAGUACAUAUAUGGCCUCAAGAAGAAAGGGUUUACUUUGGGUUUUUAAAUGUAAAAUAUAUUUACUUUCAAUCAUCAUUCGGUUUUAAAAGUAAUUCGCUUUAUUUUAACCCAUCAUUUUCCAUCACGAAAAAUCAUGUCUUUUAUGCAUUAUACAGUCUUCGGACUUAUGCAAACUCAAACCCCGAAAAUGCAGGAAAUCGCAUUUCAGGGACUCUAGAUUUCAAAAUAUUCUGGGGGAGCAUGCCCCCAGACCUCCCCUAAAAUGGCUCACGCCUUUUACGCCGGCUACGCCACUAUCUCUCUACUAUCUUCUUUUUAUCAAUGCUAUAAAAUUUUAUUGUCUCCCCAAAACCAUUCUUUUUAUUUUACACCCAUAAAAUAUAUCCCCC